GCCCAAUAUUCUUCUCGGGAUUGGUGUGGUAAAAAGACUUCAAUUCUCCUAUAAAUACUCACCCUUUGUUUCUCUUCUCUACGCUUCACUCCUUCCUAUCUAUAAUUAAACUUACACAAAAACUCUUCCUUUUCUCAAGAAACCCUAUUUAGGGUUAAAUAUGGCUCUCUUUGUAUUUUUCCACAGCUUUCUUGAACUGCAUAUAUAUUAGAAAAUUCACACCAUAUAUAACCAAUUAUCAUUAUUGGAGGUGAAAAUAAAAAAAAAAAUUGUUGCGGUUCAAUAAAGUUGUGGGAAGAUACAGAUAGUGUCAAGAAAUUACAAUUCCUGAAUUUUCAGUUACAGAUUUUGAUUUUCUUUAUAUUGAUGCAUGGUUAGAUCCAUGUUUGUUUUUUGGUGAACUUUCUAUAUAUAGAAAGAAUUUUUUUUACUGUUAUUACUGACAAGUUAUUAUUGUGAUUAUUAUUGUUUUGCAGGAAAUUAAAAGGUGUUCAUAAUGAUCUACUGUUUAAGGAUCUAGUUUUAACAUAGCUGGAAUUACAGAAGUUGAUAAUGAAUACAUUCAAAGCAAUGAACAAGCCAGCAGUGAUAUUUUCUGGAGAGUUUUGUAAUUUCUUAUUAUGUUCCAAUAAUUCUCAUUAUUAAAGUUGUUAUCCUAAAAAGUAAAGAAAAGAAAAAGUUGUAAUCUUCCUUUAUUUGCUGUAAGAUUCUAGGUUAGUGCUUAAAAUUUUACGUUAGUUUAUUGGUAUUUGUUUGCUUUACUUUUAGAGGGUCAAGCUCUUCAAUUAUUCAGACACUGUUGGUUUAAAGUUAAA